CUUUACACAUGCAAGUCGAACGGCAGCGGGGGCUUCGGCCUGCCGGCGAGUGGCGAACGGGUGAGUAAUGCAUCGGAACGUGCCCAUGUCGUGGGGGAUAACGUAUCGAAAGGUACGCUAAUACCGCAUACGUCCUGAGGGAGAAAGCGGGGGGAUCUUCGGACCUCGCGCGAUUGGAGCGGCCGAUGUCGGAUUAGCUAGUAGGUGAGGUAAAGGCUCACCUAGGCGACGAUCCGUAGCGGGUCUGAGAGGAUGAUCCGCCACACUGGGACUGAGACACGGCCCAGACUCCUACGGGAGGCAGCAGUGGGGAAUUUUGGACAAUGGGCGCAAGCCUGAUCCAGCCAUGCCGCGUGAGUGAAGAAGGCCUUCGGGUUGUAAAGCUCUUUCGGCCGGGAAGAAAUCGUGUUCUCUAACAUAGGACAUGGAUGACGGUACCGGACUAAGAAGCACCGGCUAACUACGUGCCAGCAGCCGCGGUAAUACGUAGGGUGCGAGCGUUAAUCGGAAUUACUGGGC
rnacentral:rRNA from 1 species